CAGGCGCUGGGACUCCCGGAGGAGAUGACACAGCCACCGGCUGGCACUUGUCGGCUCGGGCUGCACCGAACAUCAGCGGUCAUGACGACGCUCCUCGCGUCCCCAGGGACAGUGGCGCCAAGCCCGUCCAGAGCUGCUCCAGAGAGUGAGGGACCCAGCACGGCCAUCUCUCUCCCUGCCUGUGGCUUGAUGGGCCCGCACUCUUGGCUCCCUGGGCAGAAAAGAUACGGAACUCCUCCUGGCGUGGCAGCACCAGUACCCCUGUGCCUUUGGCCUCCCUCCCCUGGUGGCGUGGAGCCCAGAGACGCCAACAUCCUCUCGGACUAAGGAAGCCCUUCCAGAACUUGCCACCAGCCCCGGAAUCCUGGCUGCUCCCCCAGUGAUGGAGCAUUGGACGUGGUGGCUCUCAGGGCUGAAUUCCGGAGUGCUAACGUGGACCAGGAAGUAAGGCUUAUGAGACUUGGUCUUCGAGUGCCCUCCUUUCUCCCUUGCUUUACACCUGAAUUUGGCCUCCUGCUCUACAUCUGCCCGCCAAAUGCCUCUUUUAGCCUCGCUGUUACCCCGCGGCGUCCCAUUGUUUAUACAAGUUAUUUCUCCUCCGCCAAGAAUUUCUUAGUACAUCAGUUAGAACGUAGGAUUUUGAGAGAUUCGUGCUGUCAUCCUUCCCCCGACUCCUGCACUUUAGUGAUUUGCAUGUAGAAGUUACUCAGUCCAGAUUUGUUGAA